CGCGUAGGCGGUUUGUUAAGUGGGAUGUGAAAGCCCCGGGCUUAACCUGGGAAUUGCAUUUCAAACUGGCGAACUAGAGUGCGGUAGAGGGAGGUAGAAUUUCCUGUGUAGCGGUGAAAUGCGUAGAUAUAGGAAGGAAUACCAGUGGCGAAGGCGGCCUCCUGGAUCGACACUGACGCUAAGGCGCGAAAGCGUGGGGAGCAAACA
rnacentral:rRNA from 1 species